rnacentral:rRNA from 1 species
GUAGGGUCCGAGCGUUGUCCGGAAUUAUUGGGCGUAAAGGGCUUGUAGGCGGUUUGUCACGUCGGAAGUGAAAACUCAGGGCUUAACCCUGAGCCUGCUUCCGAUACGGGCAAACUAGAGGAAUGCAGGGGAGAAUGGAAUUCCUGGUGGAGCGGUGGAAUGCGCAGAUAUCAGGAGGAACACCGGUGGCGAAGGCGGUUCUCUGGGCAUUUCCUGACGCUGAGAAGCGAAAGCGUGGGGAGCAAACAGGCUUAGAUACCCUGGUAGUCCACGCCGUAAACGGUGGGCACUAGGUGUGGGGAACAUUCCACGUUCUCCGUGCCGAAGCUAACGCAUUAAGUGCCCCGCCUGGGGAGUACGGCCGCAAGGCUAAA